AGAGUGCAGUUGCAUCUGCUCUGUGCUGCAACACAGACAACUGCAACGCAGCAACUCUACCUUUCCCUGCUGCUCAGCCAGUGAACUUGCUACAGUGCGUUGUGUGUAACCCUUUCACCUCUCAAUGCACUACAGUGCAAUGUAGAGGAGUGGAGAACAACUGCUUUAAAGCAACUGUGACGAGUGGGUCCACCUCUGCUCCAGCCUUGGGCUGUGCAUCUACAAACAUGUGUGCAGCUGCUGGCAGCCUGGGUACCUUACCUUUCUUGGAAAGUGUUGGUACCGUCAGCGGUUCGUCUUGUUGUGGGACCAAUGGGUGUAAUACUCCCAUAACAACUACAACCGCUGCUCCAACCACAGCUAAAACUGCUGCCCCAAAAACUAAAUCCAAAUGUAAGAAAAAAAAGGGGAUGAAACGUCACAUGUCACAAUACAAAUGCCGCAAGGAAUAAUCCUAAACAAGACAUCAGAGGCCUGUACUAUGAAUCAAGAUCAACAUACCCUGGAUUUAUUUCAGUUACCCGGCUCCACCUAACCUUAUCCAGCGAUGGGCACGUUCACUUAAAAGAGCCAGUGUUUCAACAGCAUGACCAAUCGCAAAUAUCCACCAGAGCUGCAUAUUUUAAAUAAGAAAAGCAUUAAUGUUUUAACUUUUAUGAGUGCACCUCUCUCCCCACGCACAGAGCUCCAGAUCGAGGACGCCGUUAUCAGUCGGGUAUUGA